AAGAGUUUGAUCAUGGCUCAGAUUGAACGCUGGCGGCAGGCCUAACACAUGCAAGUCGAGCGGUAGCACAGAGAGCUUGCUCUCUGGUGACGAGCGGCGGACGGGUGAGUAAUGUCUGGGAAACUGCCUGAUGGAGGGGGAUAACUACUGGAAACGGUAGCUAAUACCGCAUAACGUCGCAAGACCAAAGUGGGGGACCUUCGGGCCUCAUGCCAUCAGAUGUGCCCAGAUGGGAUUAGCU
rnacentral:rRNA from 1 species